UCUCCGUUGGUGAACCAGCGGAGGGAUCAUUACCGAGUUUACAACUCCCAAACCCCAAUGUGAACGUUACCAAUCUGUUGCCUCGGCGGGAUUCUCUUGCCCCGGGCGCGUCGCAGCCCCGGAUCCCAUGGCGCCCGCCGGAGGACCAACUCCAAACUCUUUUUUUCUCUCCGUCGCGGCUCCCGUCGCGGCUCUGUUUUAUUUUUGCUCUGAGCCUUUCUCGGCGACCCUAGCGGGCGUCUCGAAAAUGAAUCAAAACUUUCAACAACGGAUCUCUUGGUUCUGGCAUCGAUGAAGAACGCAGCGAAAUGCGAUAAGUAAUGUGAAUUGCAGAAUUCAGUGAAUCAUCGAAUCUUUGAACGCACAUUGCGCCCGCCAGUAUUCUGGCGGGCAUGCCUGUCCGAGCGUCAUUUCAACCCUCGAACCCCUCCGGGGGGUCGGCGUUGGGGAUCGGCCCCUCACCGGGCCGCCCCCGAAAUACAGUGGCGGUCUCGCCGCAGCCUCUCCUGCGCAGUAGUUUGCACACUCGCACCGGGAGCGCGGCGCGGCCACAGCCGUAAAACACCCCAAACUUCUGAAAUGUUGACCUCGGAUCAGGUAGGAAUACCCGCUGAACUUAAGCAUAU
rnacentral:misc_RNA from 1 species